UACGUAGGCAGCAAGCGUUGUUCGGAGUUACUGGGCGUAAAGGGUGCGUAGGCGGUUGUUUAAGUUUGGUGUGAAAUCUCCCGGCUCAACUGGGAGGGUGCGCCGAAUACUGAAUGACUAGAGUGCGGGAGAGGAGAGUGGAAUCCUGGUGUAGCGGUGAAAUGCGUAGAUAUCAGGAGGAACACCUGUGGCGAAAGCGGCUCACUGGACCAUAACUGACGCUGAUGCACGAAGGCGUGGGGAGCAAACAGG
rnacentral:rRNA from 1 species